AAUAUAGACAAAGCUAGUGAGAAGCAAUGGCGUAUGAAGCGUACCAAACAGAUAUAGAGUAACUGAAUAGCUAUCUAUAGAUGUUUGAUAAAGAUCAGCAUGCCGUGUUUUGACCAGUUAGUAAUUAAAAUAGAUCACAUGCAAGAUUUUUCUGUGUGUGACAUAGGCCCUAUAUAAAACUAACGCAGCGCGGUGGAUGGCUUAGAGCCAACCAAACAAACGAAACUUGUACAUUAAUCAUUAAACACAAUAACCGUCACAGUUACAUACAUCCAAUCGUAAAUGUGGCUAAAUUCGGUCCGUUGCUAAUUAUACUAAGCCCAGAGUUACAGCCCUACUUGAGUGUCGUUUGCUUUGGGUUGGUUGUUAGAAAAGUGUUUCCUGGUUUCCAGUGCGAAGUCUGUGGAGGUUGGUGGUGGAAAGGGGAAGCUGGCCGCCCUUUCUGUUCCAAAACACGCAACCGGAUCCUCCGCUAGUCGCUUGCUUCUUGGGACUCGCUCUGCAGGAUGCGUCGCGCUUUGUAGCGCCUCGUUCCACCAGCAGCCACCGAGGAUAUUCGGGCCUGGCUCCGUUGCAGGCCUUGCGAACUGUUCCUGGCGUGUGGACUCACGCGGGAGGGAGACGGGAGAUGGGUGGCGAGUCCAGGGAGAGGACAAUGGAAGCGAGAGCGGAAUGGGAAAGAGAAGAAUGUGAAGAAGAGAAUAGAG